rnacentral:rRNA from 1 species
CAAGCGGAUCCCUUAAAGCNGUUCUCAGUUCGGACUGCAGUCUGCAACUCGACUGCACGAAGCUGGAAUCGCUAGUAAUCGCGGAUCAGCACGCCGCGGUGAAUACGUUCCCGGGCCUUGUACACACCGCCCGUCACACCAUGGAAGUCUGCAAUGCCCGAAGCCGGUGGCCUAACCACUUAUGUGGAAGGAGCCGUCUAAGGCAGGGCAGAUGACUGGGGUGAAGUCGUAACAAGGUACC